rnacentral:lncRNA from 1 species
UGGAUUUUGGCAAUACAUUAAGAGAAGAUCCAGUGUCCACCAACACAUUGGACAUUGCAUCAGAUUUGCAAUUCAUAGAGAUGUGCAAAGCCAUGUUGUGGUCUCUUCCCUCCUCGGGGAGAUCAGCGUCACAAAAGCUCAAAGUGUUGCAAGCGGUAAUGUUUGCAACAAUGCUAUCAAAUUGUUCCAGGGUGACGUCGUGAUCAACAUAUGCCAGGUCCAAGACCUUCUGCAGAGAUUCCCUAUGGGGUUCUGAAUUCAGCAGUAGAGAAA